rnacentral:rRNA from 1 species
AGAGUUUGAUUCUGGCUCAGGAUGAACGCUGGCGGCGUGCUUAACACAUGCAAGUCGAACGAAGCAGCUUCUGCUGCAAGAGAGUUGACUUAGUGGCGGACGGGUGAGUAACGCGUGGGUAACCUGCCUCAUACAGGGGGAUAACAGUUGGAAACGACUGCUAAGACCGCAUAACCCGCUAGUGUCGCAUGACACGGACGGAAAAUAUUUAUAGGUAUGAGAUGGGCCCGCGUCUGAUUAGCUAGUUGGUAAGGUAACGGCUUACCAAGGCGACGAUCAGUAGCCGACUUGAGAGAGUGAUCGGCCACAUUGGGACUGAGACACGGCCCAAACUCCUACGGGAGGCAGCAGUGGGGAAUAUUGGACAAUGGGGGAAACCCUGAUCCAGCCGACGCCGCGUGAGUGAAGAAGUAUUUCGGUAUGUAAAGCUCUAUCAGCAGGGAAGAUAAUGACAGUACCUGACUAAGAAGCCCCGGCUAACUACGUGCCAGCCGCCGC